rnacentral:tRNA from 1 species
UGACAGAGUGGUGAAGUGUUUGGCUGCUAACCAAAAGGUUGGUAGUUCAAACCCACC